AUGUACAGCACACUAAGGACAAAGAUCCUACAUGAGGAGUAAGUGCACAGUGACUCCUGUUGUUGACUUAACAAAUUGACACUCUUGUUUAUGGCCUCAGUAAUCACCCUAGGCUCUUGUCAUGAGCUGCCAAGGCUAUGGAAGCCCCCUGAGUUCACUGACUCUGAUCAUAUUUAAGCAAGGCCAUGGUCAAAGUGGAAGUUCUCUCCUCCCUUCAGAGAAAGCUACCUCCUUCUUUGAAGACCCGUUCUUUCCACUGGGAUCUCACUCACAAAGAUCUUUCAUUUAGGUGUUUGUUUUUUUGUUUGUUUUUGUUUUUGUUUGUUUGUUUGUUUUGCCAGAGUGUCUUGGCUUUCCAUGCCUGAAAUACUCUCAUGGGCUUUUCAGCCGGAUCAGCAUGCCUUAAGGGCUGAUUCUGAGGCCAGAGUGCUAUUUAGGACAUCUGCCAUUCUAUGGGUCUGCUGUGUAUCUCACUUCCCAUGUUGGAUCAUUCUCUCCCUUUUUGAUUCUAUCAGCUAGUAUUUGCAGACACUAUUCUUGUUUAUGUGAUCCCUUUGGUUCUUAGUCCUAUCAUUAUGAUCAAUUGUGAACAGAAGUUGAUCACUGGGACUAGUGAGAUGGCAUUGGUACAUGCCACCUUGAUGGGAUUGAAUUGGAAUCCCCUGGUAUGUUUCUAACUCUACCGUUUGAGGUAAGUCUGCUUGAGCAUGUCCCAAAUUGCACAUCUCUUCCCUCUCUUAUUCCCACUCUUAUAUUUAACAGCGAUCACUUUUCAGUUAAGGUUCAGCACUUAAGAAGAAUUGUGUAUUGAUUACAGUAUUCAACCAAAAGUAUUAAGUAAAACAAACAAACAAAAAAUACUAAGAGAGAUAACGUUCUUAACACAGGUCUGUUUUAUUUCUGUGCCAUUUUCUUAAUCUCAUCUUGCUUGAUGUCAAAUUUCUAUUCAUUUCUUGAGGAAUAUUUAAGUAAAAGUCCCUUUAAAGCUGCUUGCACUGAGAAAUUUUUUUUUCUUUAAUCAUACCCUCACCAUGUCUACUCAGAGUAAAAGUGUUCCUAAUGAACAUGGAAAUUAAUGUACAGAGCAGUUAGAGAGGUUUAUGGCAUAUCAGACAUGGAAUUUCCUUGGCUUUAAUACCCACAACUCUUGACAUUAGUGCUAUUUGAACUUUAAAUAAUUUCUCGUUAGCAUCUGCAAGAUACAGAAAAUUUGGGGAGCUAGAUUCAUUGUAGUAUUCCAGAGAUAUUUCAGAAUUAAAUAGAACUAACCUAACUGACCAAAGUAAGAGGAGUUUAAUCAGUUUGAUCUGUUUCUGUUAAACUUAGUUUCAAGAAGCAUACCAUGUUUAUCUCCAGAUUUACAUAUGUCAGAUUAUUUAUCACUAAUUACAGUUUCCUGAGGAAAUAUUGUUAGCAUUCAAACUUAAGAGAUGUAUAAACUGAAACACAGGCAGGAAAUUUUAGGAGAUUAAAUAGUUAAAAUAUGAUAUGCUGCCUAUUAAAUAGGUAAAUACAGAUUUUGAUCAUAGUUAGAUUAGAGAUGAAUUUGGCCUAAGAAGGUAGAAAAUGAAUUCAUAGAGUCAACAAUGUUGUGAGGUUUUGACUUAAAAGUAGGAAUCUUAUAAAGGAAGAAAAAUUUGUCAGAAUGAAAAAAUAUAAGAUGAACAAGAAUAGUUCAUCUGUUGUCAAAGCUUUUUCAUUGGAAAAAACAAGCAUAAAUCUGGUAAAGCUAUUUAAGGAGAUAGGGUCAGGCUUAUUUUUAAAGUGUAGAAAAAAUUCUGUGGGGAUGGAGUCCACACUUGUCAUGCCCCGGUGUUGUGUCUCUGUCUGCAUCUCUCCCUGCCUCUCUCACUUUGUCCUUAAUGAUGGGGGACAUCUUGCUUCAAACCUGCAUCUCUUUUGGUAGAUUUCUUUAUUAUUUUCUCUGUAGAUGUGUAGCUGAUGGCUUUCUCGCUCUAGAAGCUAUAUGACUUCACUGCUGAGUUCUCUAUGUAUAUCUGAAAAAAUAUCUUCAAGUUCUGAGUAGAAAUACAAUGGACCUAGCUCAUCCUUUUCAUGCCAGUGUGCACACUGACCCCUCAUGUAUCAAGUUACAGUCCAAAGAAUAAGGCAUCAGCCAUUCUAUUGUCCAGGGCUAUAAACACACAUUCAUAAACAAACAAGUAUAUCGGGUAAAAUGAGAUAGAGAUCAGCAAAAUGUGGAUGUCAGUUUUCUAUUUGGCAAUAGAGCAAUAUUACACAGGGUCAGGGCCAGUGCUGUGGCACAGUGGGUAAAGCCACCACCUGCAGUGCUUGCAUCACACAUGGGCUCCUGUUCGAGUGCUGGAUGCUCUGCUUCUGAUCCAGCUCUCUGCUAUUGCCUAGUAAAACAGUAGAAGCUGGCUCAAGUCCUUGGGCCCCUGCACUUGUGAUGGAAAACCCAGAGGAAGUUUCUGGCUCCUGGCUUCAGAUUGGUUCAGCUCCGGCAUUGUGGCCAACCGGGGAGUGCAUCAGGGGAUGGAAGACAUCUCUCACUGCCUCUCCUUUUCUCUCUGUGUAACUCUAACUUUCAAAUAAAUAAAUAAAUCUUUUAAAAAAUAUUGCAGAGGGCCUUCUGUUUCAUAUAUGACAUUGAUGCUUGAUCAGUAGCAAUUGGGAGGCUAUGAUUUUUAAAAAGUUGAAAGAUUUUAUUUAUUUGAAAGGCAGAAUUAGAAAGAGAGAGGUUUUCUAACACCUGGUUCACUCCCCAAAUGGCUGCAAUACCUAGGGCAUAUCUGGGCUGAAGCUAGGAACCAGGAACUUCAUCCAGGUUUCCCAUGUGGGUUCAGAGGCCCCAUCACUUGGAUCAUCUUCUACUACCUUUCCAGCAGGGAGCUGGAUCAGAAGUGGAGUGGUCGGGACUCGAACCAGCACCCAUAUAGGAUGCUGGCAUUAGAGGAUGUGGCUUAAUCUGCUGCGCCAAAAUGCCAGCCCCUCCAGUUUCUUAAUAAAAAUUCAGGAAUUUUAUAAUCCUUUAGUCCUGGACAUGUGAUAAAGAGUUCAUAAGGGGAAAAUAUAAAGAUACAGAGAAAGAGCCUGAGGACAGUAUAGUGAUCCAGAUCUAGACUAGCGAUGGUGAAUACUUCAGCUCAAAGUAACAGGUGUCAACAUUGAUAAAAAUCAAAAUAUUAACAGAAUAUCUUUCUGCCUCUAAAAUAGCACAUGUGAUGGAUUGUGCCCUUACAAAAAUGGAAAAAUGACCUAAGAAAGAUGACAAAAAGAUACAGAAUAUGAAGAAACAAAAAUGCAAAGCAGGACCCAGAAACUAGAGUUUGGGAAAAAAUGGAAAAAUAAUAAAAAGUGUAACUGUAGGGUUUCAUAAAUGCUAUACUGUUUUUCAAAUAGGAGAUAGAAGGGAAUACUGUUUUUUUUAAAUAAUGAAUAUUUUAUCCUAUAGAACAAAAUAAGCAUUUACAGGCAUGAGCAGUUGCAGGAAUCUAGAAGGAAGACAUAAAAGUUUGAAUUAUCUGUGUACAGGGAGAUAUCCAUAAUGUGAGACUUUAUAAACCCAGGAAUGGCUAGUAUUAGAAGAAUGGUUUUUACUGUCGAAUCCAUUCACUAUGGAGGCAUUACAGAAUGAAAUCUAUUUCAUUCACCUGUUAAGCAGCUCCUUGUGUCAGGUGUUGCACUAAAAACUCCAUAUAGGUUAUUAUAUUCAAUCUCAACAAUUCUGCUGAGAGGAGUAUAAAUUAUAAUCAUAUUGCAGACAAGAACAUCAAUGCUCAAAGGAGUUAAUGCUCAAGUUAUUAACUAUUUCAGUAAGAAGGAAAGAAAGAUCUUCCCUGUGAUACUGUUGAGAGCUGACAAGCACCAAGACAGAAUGGAGGAUACAAACCUUAAGUUUAUAAUAACAGAGGAAGGACUGUUAGGCAAAAGCCAAGGUUUUAGAUUUCUGAGAGCAGGUUUUUUUUUUUUUAAUAAUGGGUAUUUCUAAAAAUUUAGAGUAUUUUAUUGCAAAACAAAGAAGUUCUAUGGAUUAAAUCAAGUACAUAGGAAUAUUAACACAAAUUUGAAAAGAUUACAUCGGUAUUGGAACAAAUGGCUUAGGUCGAAUAUAGAUGUUAAAAUGGCAUUUAUAGGCCAGUGCCAAAGCUCACUUGGCUAAUCCUUCACCUGAGGCGCCAGCACACCGGGUUCUAGUCCCGGUUGGGGCGCUGGAUUCUGUCCCGAUUGCUCCUCUUCCUGUCCAGCUCUCUGCUGUGGCCCAGGAAGGCAGUGGAGGAUGACCCAAUUGCUUGGGCCCUGCACCCACAUGUGAGACCAGGAGGAAGCACCUGGCUCCUGGCUUUGGAUUGGCUCAGUGUGCCGGCCGUAGCAGCCAUUUGGGGGGUGAACAAGAGAAGGAAGACCUUUCUCUCUCUCUCUCUCUCUCUCUCUCUCUGUCCAACUCUGUCAAAAAAAAAAUGGCAUUUAUAGUUUCAGGAGUACUAAAUGACAUAGUAUGUUUAUCGUCUAUAAAAAGUUUUUCUAAAAAGGAUGGCAUAAUGCAUUUUAACAUGUUAAGAGCAUUAGAAAAGAGAAGUAUAGAAAUCCGUCCGUUGAAGAAAAUCUAAUAUUAACUAAAAAUGCAAUAGCACCUUUAAGCUGAAACUUCCAUCUCCAUUCUAAAGGUGUUCAGGGGAGAAAAAUAAGUUUCAGAAGAAACAACACCCUAGAGAUCACAGCUAUAUUAAGUAAGUGUAGUUUUUUUCAGUUAUGGACACAAUUUUAAGAUAUAAUUGCUUUCACUAUCAAAAACUAUGAAAAGAAUCAUAAAAUUAUUAUUUUUCUCUUAUUUCAGAAACAAAGUAAUAUUCUACAUAUUGUAAAUGAUAACCCCAUUAAAACUCUAAGAGAUUAUUAAAUUGAGGGUUUGUUAACAUUUACAAAAUAUAUGUACUAGGAGUUACUAUGACCUACCAAAAAAUCAAAUUUUCAUGUUUUUCAGCAUGAUUCAACAAGUUGUAGGCAUCUGUUCUUUGUACUGCAUAUGUUUCCACCUUUUUUCUUGUAAAAGAACUUUGAUUUUUUUGUGUGUGGCAUAAUCCUCACUCUACUUUCAGUUCAUCCGGCUGGUAGGGCGUUGUUCAAGCUUGCCAUUCGGAGAAUUCUACCUGUAGGUAAGCUGAUUAGAUCAGACAAUAAGCAGAGACCUGGGACUUUUCUGGAAUCAUUUCCUCUGACACAAAGUACAGAAAUGGGUGUUUGUGCUGACCAUUUUGUAACAUGAGAGAAACUGAGAAACCUGCCAACAAAAUGGAACAUUUCAACAGAGACAGGUGAGAGAGGAUUCUGUUAACAUGGUUUGAUAAUUUGGAAUUUUCAGAUAUCUAACAUUUUUUUGCCUGUGUCACUUUGAGUAAUGUGGAGCUAAAGAGUGCUAAUUUUGAAAUUGCUCCCUGGAAGUGGAGUAUUACAAUUGUUAAGAUUUAAACUGCGAAUUAAGUCAACUUGAAAAAGAAUUCAGUAUUAAGAUUUUCUCUAUUCUUGAUAGAAAGAUACUAAUAUCUGUUGUGCGUGAGAAAAAAUUUUUAUAUUACUAUGUUGCUACAAAUUCACUUGGUUCUCAGAUGUUUAGUUUGCUGAGGCUUGAGCUUUGGAAAGUCUUUACAGAAAUGCCAAUAUCUUGAAAUAUGUCAAAUAUUUUUUGUGCCUUUCAAUAAAUUGCUCCAAGAAGGAUACUAUUUUCUUCAUAAUAGCCUAUUUGAAGGCAAAAAAUAGAAACAAAUGUAACCUAGUGAAGGGAAGUUGUUUGUGCCUGCAGCCAAUGACACAAUGUGGAAAAGAAUCUGAUAACCCUUAGUUUGACAGCAUUCUAAAUAUUUUAAGAAUUUAUUUAUUUGAGAGGCAGCAAGACAGAUAGAAAGGAAUCUCCCAACUGUUGGUUCACUCCCAAAAUAUCUGCAACAACUGGGUCUGGGGGGAUAUCAGGAGCUAGGAACUCAAUCCUGGUCUCCCACAUUAGUGUCAGGAUCCCAAUUACUUGAUCUAUUCAUUGCUGUUUCCCAAGGUCUGCAUUGUCAAGAGACUAAAGCUAGAAGUUGAGUCACAUACUUCAGUGUGGAAUGCAAAUGUUCUAACUGCCCAUUUUAACCACUAGUCUAAAUGACUGCCCCUCUGUUAUUUUCACCAUGAAAUGGAAUAACUGGAAAAAACACCUUAAAGCAGGGAUUACAUCAUUCUACUUUUUCAGAACAAUGGCCUAGAAAGGAGUCAUUACACCAAGGGCUAGGGAGAUGGCAGGACACCAAGUUCUCUUAUGAAAAGGAAGAAAUUCCCAAUCAAUGGUCCAGAUUCCAGAAUUGUGACUUGACUAAAUCUCUGGUUUUGGUUAUCAGCCCAUGAAAUUUUACUUCACCAAUAUAUAUUGCAUUAUCAUCCAAUCAUAGGUUUUUGGACCAUGAAGAACAUUAUCUAGUAAAGACAAAGAAAUAAGCUUGUCACUCAGAAAUCCUGUGCUCAGGGUGAAAUGCAGAAAUUUAACUUUGAGUGAAACUUUCUUUCAGUGUCCUCAGUGACUUAAAGGAAUUUAGAUUGGGUGCACCAAAGCUCAAAUUCUGUCAUGAGUGAAAGUAAUUUAAAAAGUUAGAACAGCUCUCUUUCUGCAUUAAUGGUCCUCCAGACCUGCAGAAGUUCUUCUCCAAGAACACCUGUUUCCACCAUCAUGGUGUGGAAAAAACAACAGCAUUAUUCACAUAGUUGGGAAAGCAAUCUCGUUUUAAGACCGAAGAUUAAACACAGGAAAGCAUACAUAACUAUCAUAUGUUAUAGUGGAUUAAGGAUUAUGAAGUAAUUAUUCUCUAACUCUUGUUGUUUCAAACAUUUUGAUGUCAGCUAUUUAAAUCAAAUUUGAUUCUCCUCCAGAGAUGAGAGAUUGCUUUGGUUUAGAAAUCAUUGUAUCCGCCUAUUAUUUUUUUAAAAAAGAUUUAUUUGCUAUUUAUUUGAAAGGCAAAGUAAUGGAGAUAGAGAGGGAUAAGGAGAGAAUUCUGUCUGCUGGUUCACUCCUCAAAUGGCCAAAACAGGGACUCAAACAGGCACUCAGAAAGGAGAUGACAGUGUUUCAACCAUCAGCCUAACCUGCUGCAACCACAAUGCCGGUGCCUAGAUCUUUUUGUGAAGUCAGCCAAAAGGUUUGAAAAAUUACUAUUUUAGAACACACAAUAUUUAAGAUAAAAGAAUUAGGAUCCAAAACACAUUCGCAUGCAAGUACUUAUAUUUUUAUCUAGGAAUAAUUUUCAGUUUUGAAACAAUUUGUGCCAAAUAAAAUAAAAAUAAAAAAAUUCAUUAUUUAUAGAGCCAGUAAAAUAGCCUAGUCUAAAUGAGAAUUAGACAAACAAGGAUUAUACAGUCUACCAAAAAGAAAUUAAAAGAAGAAUGAUAAAUGAGAUUUCUAGAUUAUAACAUAUGUUCAAUAUUAUAUAAGGCAAUGUAAUCAUAACCUUUGAUUUCUUUUAUUUAUUUAUUUAUUUUUGUCAGGCAGAGUGGACAGAGAGAGAAAUACAGAGAGAAAGGUCUUCCUUUUCUGUUGGUUCACCCCCUUAUGGCCGCUGCAGCCAGCACGCUGUGGCCAGUGCACCGCACUGAUCCGAAGCCAGGAGCCAGGUGCUUCUCCUGGUCUCCCAUGCGGGUGCAGGGCCCAAGCACUUGGGCCAUCCUCCACUGCACUCCCGGGUUACAGCAGAGAGCUGGCCUGGAAGAGGAGCAACCGGGACAGAAUCCGGCGCCCCGGCCGGGACUAGAACCUGGGAUGCUGGCACCGCAGGCAGAGGAUUAGCUGGCCUGGAUUUCUUUUAUAAGAGUCAGAAACAUAUUUAAGAAUAUAAAUCCACAUGAUUGAUUUCUUAUCAGGAAUACCAAAGUAAAUAUAAACACAUUUCCCAAGACUAAGGGCCAACCAGCUACUUAUGUUGGUUAAUAUUCUGUUUUCAAAACGUUUUUACUAUAACACAGGUAUAUCCAUUAACUUCCUCUUAGUCUAUUGCCAUUUGGACUUAAAAAUAGUAGAACUGAGUAGUUGUGACAGAGAUCAUAUCUCCUGCACAGGCUAAAAUAUCUCUUUAAGGAAAAGUUUGCUUUUCCCUGAUAAUUGAAGAAUACUUGAAUAAAACAAUUUUAACAGUACCCUUAUUUUGAUAGUAAUGAAGAGCAUUCUUGAUGUCCAAAACACGUUGUUCUUUUUAUGUGUGGCUCCACUUAAUUACCUUGGCAUAGCAGGAGUUGCUAAUUAACUAAAUACGCCUCCUUUAGCACACAGUGUCAAGCUACUACUGAGGCUAAGAUAAUUAGCUUCUUUCAAGAAAUUUGAUUUAAAAAUCUCAUAAUGUAUGCUUUUUCUUCUACAAUUUGUUCUUCCAGUCCAAAUCUAGAAAACAAGUGAAAGAAACUCUCACCAUAUUUCCCCAGAUCUCUCAUGGAUUUAAGUAGCUACCUCUCUUUGGAGUCCAGCGUUUAUCAAAAGUCCCAGGUCAGCCAGGCAAUGACCUCUCUUAACACUUGGUAGAUUAAUACCCUGGAAACUGCAACUUUCAAGUCUGUUUCCUUGGAAAGAUUUGUCAUUGACUAAAACGUAUAAAGUAGAAUCCUCUUUCAUUAACGAAGAGCCUAUAUUUAGAUUGAUUUAUUAUCAAACAUAGCCCUCCAGGUAUGAUCUUGAUUAUUAGAGAACCAAGUUUCUCAAUUUUAUCCCAGUAUAGAGAAUUCAAUUGUAUUGUGCUUAUGUGAAUGACAUUAUUAUGAAAAAUAAGGAGACUGAGGAAAAGUAAUAGUUGCCAAAGUUUAAGGAGUUACUGAAAGUACACUAAUUGAAACAAUGAUUAAUUUUAGUUUGUAAAACUGUAGUCACCAGGGUUGGUGCUGUGGCAUAGUAGCACCCAUACGCUACUGCGUUAUCAGUGUUUCAUAUGCCCAGCAGUUCAAGGCCAGGCUGCUCCACUUCCGACCCAGCUCUGGCUUUUGAGGCCAUUUGGAGAGUGAACCAACAGUUCAAAUACCUCUCUCUGUCUCUCCCUCUCUUUGUCUGUAACUCUGCCUCUCAAAUAAAUAAGAAAUAUUUAAAAAGAAAAAAAACCAACUGUAUUCACCAAGUUAAGGAUUAGGGACAGAUCAAGAUAUCACAUAGGAUCAUAAGAAGAAGAAUAACUUCAACAAUAUCACAAGUAAAAACAAAUCUUUUUAUCACUUUUUCAAUAAUUUAUAAUCUAAAAAUAUUCUCAUAGAUUUUGUGACAAUAGUUUGAUUUCACGAAAUCUCUUUGCUUCUGGACUAAAAGGAAUCCUGGAACUCCUACUUAGUCUCAUUUUACCAGUUGCAGAGGGAAGGGCAGCUGCAGGAUUGAGUUUCAUGAGUUCUUUUCCUCAACACAGUAUAGAAAUAAAAAGCUGGCAAAUGAUUUGCAAAGAUACUUGGCAAGCGACAGAAUGUGGUCCAAGAAGAGAGCAGGUGGAGUGCAAGAAUGACCAAGAGCUACUCAUCUGAUAUGCACAUGAAAAAUGGAGAAAGACAAAGAAUCCUGUUAAAGAAAAUGCUAAUUUGUGCUGGGAAGUCAUGAAAAGCUACUAAAAAUACAACUUGCUGGAAAUGCAACAUCUCGUGAUAAGGAAUAACUGGCUAGGAGAAUCUGGGCUCUGUUUCUGGCUCUCAUAGAGCAAGGUAAGCUGAAGCACUUAUCUGCGUUCUCCAUGUUUCCCUGGGGUAUAAAUCUCAGAAAUGACUGCUUUUCAGGGCCUGACAGUUGCUGUGCAAGCAUGGUCACAUGUGGGACUUCAUGAAUGAAUUUUGGGGUGACGUAAUUCCUUUCAUAAAAGUAUCUGAACCUUUUAAAUGAGUGAAAUCUGAAUGAGUCAAGGGAAUAAAAGAGGGAUCACCAUUAAGGAUUUAAAAAAACAUAAAUGGGUUAUGAAAAGCAAUGAACAAUGAUAUAUUUCCCAAAGUCAAAUGGGCAGAUCUAAUAUAUAGGGGGGAUAAAAACUAGCAUAAUACAAAGUUUACUAAAAAGGGGAGACCAAAUGUUAGAUUCUUAAAAAUUCAAAUAAUAUUUAGAGUCUGCCUUUUCUCGUCUCCUUCCCAUCACACUGUCCUCUUUCAGCUGUGUAUAUGUUACUACUAUUAAAAUUCAGUGAAUUAAAAAGCAAUGAUCUUUUUAGGAUGUUUAAAUAAUAUGAGUAUAUUGGCAUAAAUGUUAAAAGACAAAAACAAAACAAAAACCGAAAAAACCAGGAACAGAGUAGCUGGUAGACUCCAAAUACAAAUAAAAAAGGAAAUGGAAAGACUAAUUUCAUGGCAUGCUUAUAUUAUAUUGUACGUCUUUAAAAUGUCCAAAUAUUACAUGUUAUUCUAAGUUAAAAAGUAAACUUAAGAGGACUGGCAUUGUGGCACAGCUAGUUAAUCACCACCUGUGAUACUUCCAAACCAUAUUAUAGUUCCUGUUCAAGUCCUAGAUGCUCCAUUUUCAAUCUGACCCAAAAGCAUAGACAUCCAUCACCCACAGGAAAAACCAGGAUGGAAUUUCAGGCUCCUGGCUUUAGCUUGGCCUAGUCCUAGCUGUUGCCAGCAUUUAUGAAGUGAACCAGUUGAUGAGCGAUCCAUUUCUUUAUCUUGCUGUC